CACGCACACAGGGAGAACAUGUUGCAAAGAUGAAGGCAGAAAUUAUAUUGAUGCUUCUAUAAAACAAGAAACACCAAAGAAUGCCAGCAAACCACCGGAAGCCAGGAGGGAAGCACGGAGCAGAUCUUCUGUCAUAUCCCUCAGAAGGAGCUCUGCCCACACCUUGAUCUCAGACUUCUGGCCUCCAGGACUGGAAGACAAUAAGUUUCUGUUGUUAAGCCCCUCAGUGUGGGGUGUUUUGUUACAGCUGCCCUAGAAAACUAAUACAAACACAAAGGUAAAAUUGGGAAGAUGUGGCUGAGUGCGUUAUGUUAAAGAGACCCUGGGGUGCUGGUUGGCUGUAAGCUCAGUCGAAAUCAGCAGUGCUGUGUGGCUGCUAAAGACAGCCAGAUCAGAGUUGAGGCUAUGUUAACAGGAGAUGCACUAGCUAAGCAUACGGGUAUGCUGGUCAGGCCUCACCUGGAGGGCCAUCUUUGGUCCUGGAGACCUCAACUGUAGAGAAGUGGGAGAUCUUCAGAGUCCUAUGCCCAGAGAUGAAGAGACAAGCCAGAGGAGGACUGCUGAACUGGGGAAGAGGUGGCAGGCUCAUCAACUUCCAAUGUUUGAAGAACUGUGGCAUGGAAGAGGGAUGAACACCCAGCCACAGCGAGAAGAGAUGGAACCCACAGGGAGAGAAACAGACUUCAGAGAAAUAAAAUAAUUAUAUUAGGCAUUGUCACCCAAAACAUCAAAUGGGCCGUCUCAUGGGCACCUGAGCUCUCUGUCUCUGAGAAACUCAAGACUCCACCUGCUGACCACUCAGUAGAGACUUGUGCCAAAGACUCAGGCAACCUGCAGCUCCAAAGAGGGUCCACUCACAUUCCCAGCCUGGCUUGACACCAGCAACUUGAGAUUCUUACCUAUUUAAAGUUAGAGGCCACCAUGCGAUGUCUGGGCCUCAAGACUGUUCAUCUAUGGCUUCGGCAGAUUAAACUGUGUGCUGACACAGGGACUCAUAGGCCUCAGAAGAUCAGGUUUGGUGAGACCCAGGUCCACUGGAGGGAAGAACCUGCUCAUGCUCACAGAAUAGGGUCCCAGGAGGAUGAGGGGUGGGAAGGAAAGCUGCCCUGACUCUCCACUGUCCAGGGAGUGAGGGAGCUGGCAGCCCAAGCCUUAAUUGAUCCCUAACUUGAGGGAGCCCCACAUUGGUGUGUGCUGUGAGGGGACACAGAGGAACCUACACCCAGACCUCUCUUUGAGGGGCUCAGGGAAAACUCACUGGGAAGACAGUAUUCUGUAGGAAAGGCAACUGUGAUGUCGGUAAGAAGAUGCAGUGAUCCCUAAGUAUACCUGGGGGACCAGUCCCAGGACCUCCUGCAAAUUCUCAAAUGCACAAAUGUUCAAGUUCCUUAUAUAAAAUGGUGUAGUGUUUGCCUAUAACCUACACACAUCCUCCUGUAUACUUUAAAUCAUCACUUAAUUACUUGUAACACCUAAUACAACGGGACUGGCAGGACAGAUGGUCACUAAACAUCCUUCAAGUACCAACCUUUCCCAUCACAGAAGAUGCUGGCCAGGACAUUUCUGGUUCAAAUGAAAGAUACUCUGAUAAUAUCGACAAGGCUUCAAAUUCAAACAAGUUCCAUGCGCAAGUCUGAUUAAGUCAUCCUUAUUAAACGCAGAACAAUGAGGACAGUGUCAUGGCGGGAUUCAGCACAUACAGCAUUGCCUUUAAAGCUUUCAUGUACUCAGGGAAAGCCCGAUGGAAUCCUUGUCCUUCUAUUUCAAGUCAGAGAGUGGAGGAGAAUCAGCAGACCAACUGCCAAGAAGAGAGCUCAAGGUUAAACUCUCCUGACCCAGUCCCCAUCCCAGAGGUCCCUCCUUCUGCUUUCUCUCCUGUGCCCAGCAGCAAAUUGGACAGAAAACCAUCUUCAUUUUUUAUUCCACUUUGAAGCCACCAAGUCGAAUAAUUUCUCACUGAACUCGACUCUCAGCUGGAACUUCUCCCUGCCAUUUUCUAGCAUUCAAGCUGGUUAUAAAGGAAAUUUCUUCAGAAGGAGAGUAUUGGAGGAGAUCCAUCUGAAAUAGAGAAUGGCAUACACGAAGAUCCUGUUCCAGAUUACCCAUUAGAGGAUCAUCUCCUCAGCUAAGGCAGAUGUCAUCAAACCAAAAGUCACAGAGAGGGGGGUUUGCAAAAGUAUAGCACGAUGCCAGUGAAAAAUCCAGGUGUUGUCCACACAAGCUAUAAAUGAAGGGCUCAAUUCUGUCAAUUCAAUGAAAUUCCAUUAGUCCAGGCAUUUGCUUUGGCCUCUUGCCAUACAUUUAAGACCAAGUUAGUUAAGUGUUGUCAUAAAUUUAAGGCCAACUUAGUGAUAGGUAAACUCAUAUGGAAAGAUCUGAAUGUAAAGAAAACUCAUUCAUUAGAAGUAACUAUUUCCAGCACACACACACACACACACACACACACACACACACGAAAUGAAGACAAGCUAGUGAUCAAGGUGACUGAAUGAGGCAAAAGAUGGUCCCCAGAACCCACUGGGGUUUAGAUCUUUAAGUAUAAGUAACACUCCCUCCAAGCACUUGUGCAUCCCCAGAGCUCCAGAUGCCCAGAUCUCCAGGAGCCUGGCUUUGCAUCUAUUUACACCACAGGUACAAAGUAGGUGUUUAGCUUUGAUGAGUGAGGAAUCUGAGGCACAGAGAGGGAACUUGGAACUAGGAAACAGCUAAGGUGAUGGGAUCCUAGCCCUCUCACCCUCCCCCAAAACCCUGGACUCCAAGUCCUUUGGACAACUCCACAUUAGCUGUCAGGUCCCCCAGACAAACCCACAGGGGAAAAAACACCACAGUAAAUCACCACAGAUGUUGAGGCAAUGCUGAUAAUUGUGUACCCUUAGUCAUGCUGAUUUACCCCAUCCUGGGAGAUCAGAGGCAUGUGUUGUUUACUGUUGUAUCCAUGGCUCCUAGAACAGUGCCUGGCACAUAGUAGGUGAGUGAACACAGGAGUUUACUGCCACUGGAUGGUCUCUUUUACCCUGUACCCAGGCAGUGACAAAGCCAACACUUGAAGAUCAUGGGAAACAUCUGUCUACUGCCAGGGUAUAGGUGGUGGGGCACCAGAACUCAGCUCUGGGUUCUUUAAGGCAAUAUAACAUAACAAGGUGGCAUGCACUUCUAAUCAGGGAUCUUGUCUUUUUGUCUUCUUUGUCCAUUCUACCACCUCAGUCAUCAAUGAAAGUGGUGAACUGGUUGGCUGGUAAUGAGUUGCUAACUCAGAUCAUUGGAUAUAAGAGGGUGACCAAGACUAAGCACGGGAGUGUUAUGGUCAGUGUUCAAAUAAUUGGACCCAAUAGCAUCAUCUUCCUAAAUACACAUACUCCAUCCAUAAAUGUCUGCUGUUCCUCUAUCCCCUUGAUGGGUUCCCAUCCCUCUUUUUAGAUCCCCACUCAGGCAUCAGGGCUUUCUGGAUGUUCCUUGGAAUCUGCAAACAUCCAAUGUGAGCUUCUAGUCUUAUCUCAUCUAACCCUAUUGCUACAUUAGAUGAAACAAAAAGUUAUGGUUGAAUUUUCUCUUUUUUGUAAAAAAUAAAAUUGGUUUACACCCACUGGAUUCCCAGUGGGAAUGGGGA
rnacentral:lncRNA from 1 species